rnacentral:sRNA from 1 species
GCUGGGCACAGUGGCGCACGCCUGUAAUCUCAGCAGCUUGGGAGACUGAGACAGGAGGAUUGCGAGUUCAAAGCCAGCCUCAGCAACAGGUGAGGCACUAAGUAACUCAGUGAGACCCUGUCUCUA